rnacentral:tRNA from 1 species
UACUCUUUUAGUAUAACCAGUACAGUUGACUUCCAAUCAACCAGCUUUGACAGCAUUCAAAAAAGAGUAA